AUGGGGGGACCACCCUCCAACCCUAAAUACUACCCAGUGACCGAUAGCGUAUAGUACUGUGAAGGAAAGGUGAAAAGGACCCCGGGAGGGGAGUGAAAGAGAACCUGAAACCUUGUGCCUACAAGCACAUAGAGCCCGUCAAAGGGUGAUAUGGUACUUUUUGUAGAACGGUCCGGCGAGCGAUUGUACGUUGCGAGCUUAAGGUCUUAAGGACUGGAGGCGUAGCGAGAGCGAGUCUAAACAGGGCGUUUAGUAGCGUGCAAUGGGCCCGAAACCGGGUGACCUACCCAUGAUCAGGCUGAAGUGAAAGUAAAAUUUCAUGGAGGGCCGAACCGACCUCCGUUGAAAAGGCGGCGGAUGAAUUGUGGGUAGCGGAGAAAUUCCAAUCGAACUCGGAGAUAGCUGGUUCUCCCCGAAAUAGCUUUAGGGCUAGCCUCAUGUUAGAUAUCCGGAGGUAAAGCACUGAAUGGCCUAGCGUCCGAGAGGAUAGCGAAGCCUAUCAAACUAAGAAUGCCGGAAUAUUGAUGCAUGGGAGUCAGACAGUGUGAGAUAAAUCUCAUUGUCAAAAGGGAAACAGCCCAGAUCUACAGCUAAGGUCCCAAAUUGUAUCUAAGUGGAAAACGAUGUGGAAAUACGCAGACAACCAGGAUGUUGGCUCAGAAGCAGCCACUCAUUUAAAGAGUGCGUAAUAGCUCACUGGUCGAGCGUCUCUGCGCGGAAAAUUUAACGGGGCUAAGAUACAAACCGAAGCUUAGGCUGCACUUUUAGUGCGGGGUAGGGGAGCGUUGUGUAAGCGGAGAAACAGUAGCGUAAGCGGCUGUGGAGUUUACAGAAGUGAGAAUGCCGGAAUGAGUAGCGCGAAUGAUGUGAGAAUCAUCAUGGCCGGAAACCUCAGGUUUUUGGAGGAAGGUUCGUCCGCUCCAAGUUAGGCGGGAGCUAAGGUGAGGCCGAAAGGCGUAGCCGAUGCACAGACGGUAGAGAUUCCGUCCCCACCGAAAGAUUUAAGCGCAGGGACACUUUUAGAAGGUCGGAGCCAGGUGUUGGUUCUGGUAGAGAUCGAGGGAAGAUUAGUACCGAAGUCCGGCUGGAUAAGAGGCGAGAAAAGCUGCGUGUAUAUCUAAGGUGCCCGUACCGCAAACCGACACAGGUAGGUAGGAAGAAGAUUCUAAGGCCAACGGGAGAAGGGUUGUUAAGGAACUCGGCAAAUUGACCCCGUAACUUCGGGAGAAGGGGUGCUCCAGAGAUGGAGCCGCAGAGAAUCGGCCCAAGCAACUGUUUACCAAAAACACAGGUUUGUGCUAAAUCGAAAGAUGACGUAUACGAGCUGACGCCUGCCCGGUGCUGGAAGGUUAAGAGGAGAUGUGCAAGCAUUGAAUCGAAGCCCCAGUGAACGGCGGCCGUAACUAUAACGGUCCUAAGGUAGCGAAAUUCCUUGUCAGGUAAGUUCUGACCCG
rnacentral:rRNA from 1 species